GGAGAGGCAGGGCAGCUAAGUUUAGAGGAAAACAUGCCCGAGGCGGGCGUGACCGGCUGACUACCGGAUCAGAAUUCCCAGAAAGCUUACUAAAGUGAAAACCCGAGCCACGCGAAAUCCAGCGCGUCAGUGUCGGGAAGAAAAUCCAUGGCUUCCAUCAAGUUCUCAAAACCACCAAAAAGAUUAAGAACCACUAGUUUAGGUCUUCGGUGAAAAUCAGGAUAUCCAGUACCAAAGCCUGGCCUGGGCUUCCCAUGGAGCACAGAGAAGAGCCACAGGUGAAGGGACUGCAGAAUUUCAAAGAAAUGAGACAAGGAUUUGGCUUCAAGAUGAGGUUUUAAGAUCAGGAGAGAAGAUAAAGAAGCUUCUU